AGGGAUGUAGCUCAGUGAUAGAGUACUUGCCUAGCAUGUAUGAGUCCUGGGUUCAAUCCCUAUCACCACCA
rnacentral:tRNA from 1 species